rnacentral:rRNA from 1 species
UACGGGGGGGGCAAGCGUUGUUCGGAAUUACUGGGCGUAAAGGGUUCGUAGGUGGCCAACUAAGUCAGACGUGAAAUCCCUCAGCUUAACUGGGGAACUGCGUCUGAGACUGGAUGGCUUGAGUGCAGGAGAGGAACGCGGAAUUCCAGGUGUAGCGGUGAAAUGCGUAGAUAUCUGGAGGAACACCGGUGGCGAAGGCGGCAUUCUGGACCAUAACUGACACUGAGAGACGAAAGCCAGGGGAGCAAACGGG